AGGAGUGACAUGAUUUGAUUAGAGCUUUUCCGGCAUGCAGCUAGCCACUUUCAGGAGUGACAGGAUUUGAUGGAAGCUUUCUCAAGAGUGGCAUGAUUUGACAUUGGGCAGUGUAACUUAAUGGGACCAUGCGGAGGUCUUCUAUUAACCUUUCCCCAUCAUGACGAUUAGUAGGGGUCGGGGGAAUUAUGACCCAACACUCUGUCUUUGG
rnacentral:lncRNA from 1 species